CAAUGCUGGGUGUCUUGUUUUUUAAACGCUCUUAUUUACUAUUUAUUCGUUUGUCUUUUUUUGCCCCUCACACUUAUAUUUUGUUCUUUUUUUAAUCUGGGUUUCACUUGUCUUGUGUUUUCCUUUCACAAUUAAUAACUGAAGAAGCUUUGCCUGCAGCUUUUACUGGAAGGAGAGGAUUAAAGGUCAAAGUUCAGCGAGGAUAUUCAGCGAGAUUCUGGGAAGAAGAUGAGCUAGACACAAGAAAAUGAUGCUCGCUCCUGUUUACCACUUGUGUUAAAGAUCAUUUCAACACCUAAUAUAAAAAGAAAUAGGACAAUAGAUCUUUUGUUUUACUAGGGUUACUGCAACCACUGUUAAUUUCUAGGAGCACGUGUUCUUGGAGGGAAUGAGCCUGAUUUUUAUUGGCAUCAGAAGGGACACAUGUAAUCUUAGAGGUAGUAAAAGCCAAGAUUAGAAGAUAAAAUAGUGGAUGAUACUAAGUCUUUAUUGGGUGUGGGUGGUAUUGUGACAUGAGAGUUGAAGUAUCAUGUGUAAUAAAAAUGAUUUAAGUUCAUGUAGUCAGAAACAGAUGACCAAAAGAGGGCAGCAUUAAUUCAUAUGAUUUAAAAGUGGACCAUGAUGCUGCCACCCCCACCUCCCUUAUGCAAACAAUACAGACUGUAGUGGUAGUUCCACAAAAAUAGGAAAGCUCAGAGGAGUUGUUUAAGGUAAGUUUUGGUUAUAUUCAGUUUUGUCAACUGAAUAUACGACAGGGAAAACACUGAAAUAGAAGAUGCCAACAGAAUAAGUGUACAUCCAAUGCUGUGGUCUGGCUUGGUGCUCUCAGCUGUGUUUUUCUCUGGGUCUCACCAGCUGUAACAGCAUCUCCAUAUGGAAAAACUGUGGCUUCCAGUGGAGCUGCUGUUAUCUGUGGAGGGACACCUCUUGUCAUGCAAACACUGCUGGGACUCUCUGUAGCUCAUGAACGGCAACGCUUUCGGUUUCUUGUUUCUCUGUUUAGUUUAGUUUUCGUGGUGAUUUAUGUGAAGGCUGCAAUAAAUUAAACAAUUCUUGUGAAAUCA